rnacentral:rRNA from 1 species
GAUUAAGUUAUUAAGGGCGCACGGUGGAUGCCUUGGCACUAGAAGCCGAUGAAGGACGUUACUAACGACGAUAUGCUUUGGGGAGCUGUAAGUAAGCUUUGAUCCAGAGAUUUCCGAAUGGGGAAACCCAGCAUGAGUUAUGUCAUGUUAUCGAUAUGUGAAUACAUAGCAUAUCAGAAGGCACACCCGGAGAACUGAAACAUCUUAGUACCCGGAGGAAGAGAAAGAAAAUUCGAUUCCCUUAGUAGCGGCGAGCGAAACGGGAAGAGCCCAAACCAACAAGCUUGCUUGUUGGGGUUGUAGGACACUCUAUACGGAGUUACAAAGGACGACAUUAGACGAAUCAUCUGGAAAGAUGAAUCAAAGAAGGUAAUAAUCCUGUAGUCGAAAAUGUUGUCUCUCUUGAGUGGAUCCUGAGUACGACGGAGCACGUGAAAUUCCGUCGGAAUCUGGGAGGACCAUCUCCUAAGGCUAAAUACUCUCUAGUGACCGAUAGUGAACCAGUACCGUGAGGGAAAGGUGAAAAGCACCCCGGAAGGGGAGUGAAAUAGAACCUGAAACCGUGUGCUUACAAGUAGUCAGAGCCCGUUAAUGGGUGAUGGCGUGCCUUUUGUAGAAUGAACCGGCGAGUUACGAUUUGAUGCAAGGUUAAGCAGUAAAUGUGGAGCCGUAGCGAAAGCGAGUCUGAAUAGGGCGUUUAGUAUUUGGUCGUAGACCCGAAACCAGGUGAUCUACCCUUGGUCAGGUUGAAGUUCAGGUAACACUGAAUGGAGGACCGAACCGACUUACGUUGAAAAGUGAGCGGAUGAACUGAGGGUAGCGGAGAAAUUCCAAUCGAACCUGGAGAUAGCUGGUUCUCUCCGAAAUAGCUUUAGGGCUAGCCUCAAGUGAUGAUUAUUGGAGGUAGAGCACUGUUUGGACGAGGGGCCCCUCUCGGGUUACCGAAUUCAGACAAACUCCGAAUGCCAAUUAAUUUAACUUGGGAGUCAGAACAUGGGUGAUAAGGUCCGUGUUCGAAAGGGAAACAGCCCAGACCACCAGCUAAGGUCCCAAAAUAUAUGUUAAGUGGAAAAGGAUGUGGCGUUGCCCAGACAACUAGGAUGUUGGCUUAGAAGCAGCCAUCAUUUAAAGAGUGCGUAAUAGCUCACUAGUCGAGUGACACUGCGCCGAAAAUGUACCGGGGCUAAACAUAUUACCGAAGCUGUGGAUUGUCCUUUGGACAAUGGUAGGAGAGCGUUCUAAGGGCGUUGAAGCAUGAUCGUAAGGACAUGUGGAGCGCUUAGAAGUGAGAAUGCCGGUGUGAGUAGCGAAAGACGGGUGAGAAUCCCGUCCACCGAUUGACUAAGGUUUCCAGAGGAAGGCUCGUCCGCUCUGGGUUAGUCGGGUCCUAAGCUGAGGCCGACAGGCGUAGGCGAUGGAUAACAGGUUGAUAUUCCUGUACCACCUAUAAUCGUUUUAAUCGAUGGGGGGACGCAGUAGGAUAGGCGAAGCGUGCGAUUGGAUUGCACGUCUAAGCAGUAAGGCUGAGUAUUAGGCAAAUCCGGUACUCGUUAAGGCUGAGCUGUGAUGGGGAGAAGACAUUGUGUCUUCGAGUCGUUGAUUUCACACUGCCGAGAAAAGCCUCUAGAUAGAAAAUAGGUGCCCGUACCGCAAACCGACACAGGUAGUCAAGAUGAGAAUUCUAAGGUGAGCGAGCGAACUCUCGUUAAGGAACUCGGCAAAAUGACCCCGUAACUUCGGGAGAAGGGGUGCUCUUUAGGGUUAACGCCCAGAAGAGCCGCAGUGAAUAGGCCCAAGCGACUGUUUAUCAAAAACACAGGUCUCUGCUAAACCGUAAGGUGAUGUAUAGGGGCUGACGCCUGCCCGGUGCUGGAAGGUUAAGAGGAGUGGUUAGCUUCUGCGAAGCUACGAAUCGAAGCCCCAGUAAACGGCGGCCGUAACUAUAACGGUCCUAAGGUAGCGAAAUUCCUUGUCGGGUAAGUUCCGACCCGCACGAAAGGCGUAACGAUUUGGGCACUGUCUCAACGAGAGACUCGGUGAAAUCAUAGUACCUGUGAAGAUGCAGGUUACCCGCGACAGGACGGAAAGACCCCGUGGAGCUUUACUGUAGCCUGAUAUUGAAAUUCGGCACAGCUUGUACAGGAUAGGUAGGAGCCUUUGAAACGUGAGCGCUAGCUUACGUGGAGGCGCUGGUGGGAUACUACCCUAGCUGUGUUGGCUUUCUAACCCGCACCACUUAUCGUGGUGGGAGACAGUGUCAGGCGGGCAGUUUGACUGGGGCGGUCGCCUCCUAAAAGGUAACGGAGGCGCUCAAAGGUUCCCUCAGAAUGGUUGGAAAUCAUUCAUAGAGUGUAAAGGCAUAAGGGAGCUUGACUGCGAGACCUACAAGUCGAGCAGGGUCGAAAGACGGACUUAGUGAUCCGGUGGUUCCGCAUGGAAGGGCCAUCGCUCAACGGAUAAAAGCUACCCCGGGGAUAACAGGCUUAUCUCCCCCAAGAGUUCACAUCGACGGGGAGGUUUGGCACCUCGAUGUCGGCUCAUCGCAUCCUGGGGCUGUAGUCGGUCCCAAGGGUUGGGCUGUUCGCCCAUUAAAGCGGUACGCGAGCUGGGUUCAGAACGUCGUGAGACAGUUCGGUCCCUAUCCGUCGUGGGCGUAGGAAAUUUGAGAGGAGCUGUCCUUAGUACGAGAGGACCGGGAUGGACAUACCUCUGGUGUACCAGUUGUCGUGCCAACGGCAUAGCUGGGUAGCUAUGUGUGGACGGGAUAAGUGCUGAAAGCAUCUAAGCAUGAAGCCCCCC